rnacentral:lncRNA from 1 species
GUAGAUCCAUAUCGCCUUUUUGGCGUCGGAUUGUGCCGAGGGCACGUGACUGUAGGUUGUUAAACCAGUUAGUGUCGGUUACUUGGACUUUGGCUUGAGAGAGCCUGAUUGAGCUCGACAGAGAUACGCUGCAUAUUCGGUUGGGUAGCUCCCACGAGUGCCACUCCGGCGAUGGGCGCUGUGCGUUCGCGUUGAUGUCGUGCAUGCUGG